rnacentral:rRNA from 1 species
AACGAACGCUGGCGGCAGGCCUAACACAUGCAAGUCGAACGCCCCGCAAGGGGAGUGGCGCACGGGUGAGUAACGCGUGGGAAUAUGCCCUUCGGUUCGGAAUAACACAGGGAAACUUGUGCUAAUACCGGAUACGAUCUACGGAUGAAAGAUUUAUCGCCGAGGGAGUAGCCCGCGUAGGAUUAGCUAGUUGGUGAGGUAAUGGCUCACCAGGGCGACGAUCCUUAGCUGGUCUGAGAGGAUGAUCAGCCACACUGGGACUGAGACACGGCCCAGACUCCUACGGGAGGCAGCAGUGGGGAAUAUUGGACAAUGGGCGAAAGCCUGAUCCAGCCAUACCGCGUGAGUGAUGAAGGCCUUAGGGUUGUAAAGCUCUUUCGCCAGGGAAGAUAAUGACGGUACCUGGAAAAGAAGCCUCGGCUAACUCCGUGCCAGCAGCCGCCGUAA